rnacentral:rRNA from 2 species
ACAUACGAUCAUACCCACUGGAAAACUCGGGAUCCCGUUCGCUCUCCCAUAGCUCCCAUAGAUAAGCCAGCCAGUGAGGGACAGAGUAGUAGUCGGGUCGGUGACGACCGGCGAAUGCCUGUUGUUGUAUGUU